rnacentral:rRNA from 1 species
GACGAACGCUGGCGGCGUGCUUAACACAUGCAAGUGGAGCGACGAACCGGGGCUUGCCCCGGGGCAAAGCCGCGAACGGGUGAGUAACACGUGGGUAACCCACCUCGAUGACCGGGACAACCCGAGGAAACUCGGGCUAAUACCGGAUGUGCUCUUCUCUCUCAAGAGAGUCGAGGAAAGAUAGCUUCGGCCUUCGCAUCGAGACGGGCCGCGGCCCAUUAGCUUGUUGGUGGGUAACGGCCUACCAAGGCUUCGAUGGGUAGCUGGUCUGAGAGGACGAUCAGCCACACGGGGACUGAGACACGGCCCCGACUCCUACGGGAGGCAGCAGCAAGGAAUUUUCCGCAAUGGGGGCAACCCUGACGGAGCAACGCCGCGUGACGGAUGACGCCUCUUGGGUGUAAACGUCUUUUGCCGGGGGAGAGAACGGACGGUACCCGGCGAAUCAGGACCGGCUAACUACGUGCCAGCCGCCGCGGUAA